UAAGGUGUAUACAUGGGCAGUCUUUGUCUU
rnacentral:piRNA from 1 species